GUCGAGCUCAGGGAGGACGAAAACCUCCCGCAGAGCAGAAGGGGAAAAGCUCGCUUGAUUUUGAUUUUCAGUACAAAUACAAAAACAAAAAGCA
rnacentral:ncRNA from 1 species